UACGUAGGGGCCUAGCGUUGUCCGGAUUUAUUGGGCGUAAAGAGCUCGUAGGCGAUUUGGUUAGUCAGGUGUGAAAUCUCCACGCUCAACGUGGAGGGGCCACCUGAUACUGCCAUGACUUGAGUCCGGUAGGGGAGUGUGGAAUUCCCGGUGUAGCGGUGAAAUGCGCAGAUAUCAGGAGGAACACCAGUGGCGAAGGCGGCUCACUGGCCCGGUACUGACGCUGAGGUGCGCAAGCGUGGGGAGCAAACAGG
rnacentral:rRNA from 1 species